GGCUGUGAGCAACACGCGGGGCCGAGCGCACGAUUCCACUUCGGUGCCGGCUGGAGCGGAGGAACCGGGUGCCGUGCGGCUUCAACCUGAAAGGGUGUGAAGCUGAGUUUCUAGAGCCUUUGUCUCCAUGAGAAAGAGCCUGAGAAUAAAUUUAUCGUAAAGGAAAUGGAGCCUGACAAUAUCAUUGGAGCACCUGGAUCCAGCCAAGCCUGAAGCCACUGAUAUUUAGCUUGUUUUGAGGCUUCUGCUGAUACCAACGAUGGGACAGUGAACUUCCUGGGUUGAAGGUAGAUCUGCGUGUUCCCUUUUAUCAAGGACUGCACCACAACUACCGUGGAUUAAAGCACUCAUUACCCUACUUCCCCUUGAAGAAGGAAGGAGCUGGACACAAACUGCCAAAUGAGAAGGCUUCCAGACUCGGAUUCAAUUACACCACCAGCUUUCCUGGGUCUCCAGCUUGCAGGCGACAGAUUGUGGGACUUCUCAGCCUCCAUAAUGAUAUUGGGAGCCUGAGGCCCCAGAGGGGAAGUGUCCCGGCCACCAGUCCAUCCACAGUGCGAAUCAGCUGGGCCACGUGAUGAAUUGAGGAAGAAAACUUCCCAGGGCCUUCGAAACCUCUUAGGUGACUGUGGAGUGAGGCCAUUCGCAGAACCACCUGCUUGGGUUAAGCAUCCGCCGAGGGCCUCACACGGUGCCACCUGCCUUACCCAAGGGUACAAAGAAGAAUUGUGUAAUUGGGGAGCUGAGACACCGGAGAAGAAACCAUUGGUGAGCAUCACAGACGUGUGUGCUCAGAUGGUGAAAUAAAUGCGGCUGCCUCUGUGCCCAUCUCUCCCUCUGCCUCUUCUC